GAUGAACGCUAGCUACAGGCUUAACACGUGCAAGUCGCGGGGCAGCAUGGGGGUUGCUUGCAAUCCCCGAUGGCGACCGGCGCACGGGUGAGUAACGCGUAUCCAACCUGCCCUUCACCACGGGAUAACCCGGCGAAAGUCGGACUAAUACCGUAUGUUGUCCAUUGACGGCAUCCGAUUUGGACGAAAGGUUUGGCGGUGAAGGAUGGGGAUGCGUCCGAUUAGCUGGACGGCGGGGUGACGGCCCACCGUGGCGACGAUCGGUAGGGGUUCUGAGAGGAAGGUCCCCCACACUGGAACUGAGACACGGUCCAGACUCCUACGGGAGGCAGCAGUGAGGAAUAUUGGUCAAUGGGCGUAAGCCUGAACCAGCCAAGUAGCGUGCAGGAUGACGGCCCUAUGGGUUGUAAACUGCUUUUAUGCGGGGAUAAAGAGGCCCACGUGUGGGUUUUUGCAGGUACCGCAUGAAUAAGGACCGGCUAAUUCCGUG
rnacentral:rRNA from 1 species